AAUCUCUUGCUGUGCUUUGGCACUUUUGAGGUCCUUGGCUGCCUCAUCCCAAGAGUGGGCCAAAAGUAGCUGCUGCAGCAGAUGGAAGAUCCCAUUGGACUAAUGAGAUGACUUGCAUGUGUUGGUGUUUGCAACAUCUGGGCUGCAAACUCGAUUCUCCAGCCUUGCCUUCUUGGAUAUCGUGUGAGCCACGGCACAGGCGAAGACGGAGCUUGCUGUUGGAAAGGAGGAUCCUGUGGCGCUGGACUUGGUGACGUUGGGUGGCUCUCCCGUGACCCUGUUUUUGUGGAGUGCUUUAUUCUCCAAGCAUGGCAGAAGCAUCCAGCAGUGCUGGCGGAUGAGGAGCUAUGAAGGAGCCUUCAAACUUUUCACCCCGGGCUUUCAGUCAGACCGGCUGCCUCCGGAUUUAAGAGCUUUCAGUUAAACAGAUUUGCAGGUAAGUCACCUUUUUGUUGCAUUGUGAUUAGGCUUUGUUCUGGUAUGCAAAAUAAGCAGUUUUAACCUUUGCAGUUCUCAUUUUGCCUUGGGUUUCACUGCAUAAAAAUACUUGAGUUUUAUAAAAUUGAAAUUCUAAAGUCAGGGUUUUAGGGAGGUCAGCAGCAGUCAGAGGUACUAAACCCCAGGGUCUCACAUAACAUUUAAAUCUUGUCCUGUAUUCUGCAAGGAGCAGGUGCUUUUGGACGCUUAGAGUUAAUGAGUAGCUUCUGGUCAUAUUCAGUUUUCACACUUAAUACAGAAGAGAAAAUUCUAGAAUUUAUCUUGGAUCACAAACUUAGAUUCUGAACUCCGAGUUGUUUCCCUCUCGCUUUGCCUACGGUGAGAUGGAUCAGCGAGAGUUUUGCUUCUUGGCUUUUUUGGCCUUUAUUUAUCCUACCAGUAUUAAGAAGAUUGAUUUCCAUGGAAGGCUUUUUGCAGGAAACCUGCUUGCUUUACAAAAUCCAGAAGUGUUCACACAGUGAGUGGUUAGCACUUUCAGAAAGCAAAAGGCUUCCAAUUAGCGAAAAUAUAUUGGAAGUGGAUGAAAGUAUAACUGCUAUCUUAGCAUGUAUGAUGCAUGGAUAAGAGAGCACCAAAUUAUUUAGCUCUUUUCAUACAAUAUGCUACUGUGUCAGGGAAUUUACUGUGAACUAUCACACAGUACAGGGAUUGCUUUCUGGUGGACAUACAUCUUGUAUCAGCAGAAGAGAUUUUAUCCGAUAUAGGCUAUGUAUCACUGUGACAGUGUAAAGCGCACUGUCAAUGAAACGCUUUAGUUGCUUGAAAUUGCAUCCAUAUACAGAGUUUUACCAACCUCGAAAUAUUGAUUAGGGAAAUCAAUUUUUUUUUCACAUGCUCGCAGUACAGCAGCA